GCCACGGGCAAGGGGCUGAGCAGAGGGGGGUUCCAAUGCCAGUUGCUUAAAAAUGCCCCUGUAGCACCAAGAGGUGCCAGACCCAAGUGAAUUUAGUUGAGAAGCAAUAACACCCACAACCACACCCCAAAUAGACUGGGCCUCCACCUCCGAAGAUUCAUCCCUGGACCAGACACCAGUCAAGGCAAGAGUGAUGGCUGGUAGGAUUCCUCCUACACUGGAGAAGAGACCCAGAGAGGAACCUUCCUGAGAAGCGGAGAAGGGACAGUGACGGCCGCCCAGCUCCCAGAACUCGUCCCCUCCUCUCACCCCUCCCGGGAGCUUCCCAACGGACAGAAGGGAGAGAUCCCCUUGCCUGGAGACAUUUUCUGAAGACAUGGGAAAAGGAGACGAGGCGGGCUACUCCCUGGCAGCAGGCCUUCAAGCUGUUGACAACCAGUACCAAGAAGAGUGCCAGGUAAGAUCUGGAGUCCACCUGGUUCAGCCACCGCUUUAACAGAAUAGAGAACCAAGCCCGAGAGAUGAAGGGGCCCAGUGAGAAAUAUCCCUGCUCUCUGGGGAUAGAGCUUGGCUCUCUAAGCCUCUCUCAUCUUCGAAACGGCAGCUCAGGGAGGGCGAAGGAGCCUUUCUUGGGGUGAAUGAAAGGUUUUUUGAAUACUUCUUCUCAGGGAGGCUACAUGUGAGGGAGCCAGGGGUCCGGACAAGCUCUGCCUACCAGCCCAGGACGUGUAUGUUCAUGGGCCCAGAGAAAAAAGGCAUACCUUCCAGUCCUACUGUUCCUUCCCACCAUCCCAGUCCCCACCCCACCCCACCCCACCACCAAGAGGCCUUUCGAGCUACUCAAGGGGUGGGGGAAGGAACCUCCCUGGCCACAAGCUCUUGGCAGUCUUUCCACGGGCUCUCUAGAGUUCCGAUGAGUCUGCCCCCAUGCCCUCCUCGGUGCCUUCCUUCCCCCUCAGCCUUCUGUGUCCUGCAAGGACAAGGACAGUAUUAAGGCUGCAGUGCAGGGACAUACUCCCUUAGCACAUAGAGAUGGUUCUGGGUCUGCUGAAUGAGCUGUCCCACAUCCAGAGAACUAAGAAACUGAGAUAUCAGGCAUGGAGUUGAAGGUGAGGGGCCAGGCCCAGCAUGGUACCUUACACUCCAACCCCGGGGAAAAUUCUAUUUCCUUGGAGCCUUGGAGACCUAUGGGGAUAUGUGCAUUUAAAUGUUCACCAGCUUGACUAUUCUAGAAUCACAGGGACAGAACGAGACAGUCUUUAUCCAGGGAUGGGACAAGGAAGAAGAGGCAAAGACCUUUCCUGGCUGAACGCCUCCCUCUCCAUACUGUCUGGCCAUUUGUGCCUCCUUAAGGAAGAUGGACCACCUGCUGUCUAGUUCUCGUGUCCCGCUGAGAAGAUGUAAAAUCUUUGCCACGUUCUCCUUUAUCCCAAGGUGGGACAGCAGCAGCUCUCAUUUCCCCUUUCUGAGUUGCUGUCUGCAAAUCUAGAAUGCCCUAUCCCCAUUCCUGGUCCUCCAACCAAGGUGAUCAUUUCCAGCCACAAAAGCUGACCAGAAGGUAGAGCAGGCUCUGCUGUCCCACCCCAAACCUAAUCAUUGGAUGUCCUGUUUUUCACUUUCGUCUGCAAUUUUAUUGCAAAGAGUAAGGGGAAUCCUUUUAUGUACCUAGGCUGGAAUACUUGUUAGAAAUGGAAAGCUAACACCAGCCAGAGUUUUAAACAAUAAUAAUGAUGAAGAUGCAACAUCAGUACCACACUGUCAUCUGCUUCUGUGGCUUGUCAGGCACCGACCUGAAGCCCCUUCCUGAAAUAAACAGGCCUCAGGAAGAAGUCAGAGGCAGAACAGCCAGGCUUUCCUCCCCACACACAAGGCUCCAGGUCAACAGGCAUUGUGGCUUAUGCGUGUAAUCUCAGAAUUCCUGAAGUAGAGGCAGGGGGGUCAGCAGUUCUAUACACUGAAUGAGUUUGGGGCUAGCCUGGUCUACAUGUGUCUCUGUUUCUAAAAUGAAAGAAGGACAAAAGGGAAAAUAAGGGGGAGGGGAGGGCAGACAAAGAGGCAGGGGACGACCCAAGUGGUAUGUCACCAAAUGACUCCCAAAGAUCUCCACUCCCUCUGCUUCCCCAGAAAGCAAAAGCAAUGGAGGCAAAAGGGCUUUGGGCACAGCUGACCCUGGGGAAGGCUCCUAGCAACUCAGCUAGGCUGUGUCCACCACUCCUAGCUACUUACUGAAAUGUCCCUUGGUCAACUUCAGUGCCACCUCUCCCAGGGUCCAUGGGAUCUGUGGGGGAAUGUCAUGGAGAAGACUCCGAGAGAGUCCUGUAUUCAGAUCUCCUGGUAAGAGGGCUUCGGAAAGUUUCUGAGGAGUCCAGACAGAGGGGAGUUGGUUAUUGGCUGGGGAGUGCCUGAGGGCAGAAGUUUCCUGGCCUUAACAACAAAUCAAAGAAGCUUUCCCCACUGCCCCUGUACCUCACCCCCAACUUGGGGGUGCUAGAUUCCUGUUGGGAGGCCUAGGAACAGAGGGGUUUCUAAAAAUGGAGGCGCGCUUUUUUUUUUUUUUUUCUUUUCUGUUCUCUCUCAGCCCUGAGGAAAGGCUGCCUGCCCUCUUCAGAAAACCCUGAAGGUAUGUAUCAUCCAUCACCAAGGCCACCGCAGUCACCAAG